rnacentral:rRNA from 1 species
AACGAACGCUGGCGGCAGGCCUAACACAUGCAAGUCGAGCGAGGACUUCGGUCCUAGCGGCGGACGGGUGAGUAACGCGUGGGAACGUGCCCUUUGCUUCGGAAUAGCCCUGGGAAACUGGGAGUAAUACCGGAUGAGCCCUUUGGGGGAAAGAUUUAUCGGCGAAGGAUCGGCCCGCGUUGGAUUAGGUAGUUGGUGGGGUAAUGGCCUACCAAGCCGACGAUCCAUAGCUGGUUUGAGAGGAUGAUCAGCCGCACUGGGACUGAGACACGGCCCAGACUCCUACGGGAAGCAGCAGUGGGGAAUCUUAGACAAUGGGGGAAACCCUGAUCUAGCCAUGCCGCGUGAGCGAUGAAGGCCUUAGGGUUGUAAAGCUCUUUCAGCUGGGAAGAUAAUGUCGGUACCAGCAGAAGAAGCCCCGGCUAACUCCGUG